GAAGGUGUAGCUCAAUGGUAGAGCACUUGCCUAGCAUGCUUAAGGCCCUGAGUUCAAUUCCCAGCACUGCA
rnacentral:tRNA from 1 species